UGUUAAGCUGGUGGGUAACUGGUGGUCACGGUAAAUGUGGGAGUGGCUCCCUUGAUGGGCCUUGAUUAUGGUCACCUGAGGGAUCCAAGAUGGCGACACAGAAGCAAGAGGGUGUCUGGAUAGACAGCAUGGUGCCCGGUGGUUACACUCCGAAAUCAUAAGACUUUGUAAAGCCCAUUCACCCACAUACCAGGACCACACCAGAAUUAAGGAUUCCUACGGGGAACGUGACCGCCCCUUUGCCGUCUUUGUUUGUCUAUGUUAUAUGUCAAAGCAAUAACUGAACGAGACAGCUACCGUUCACCCCAAUGCUUGGGCUAUCUCCCCUACAAGAGAGAGAAGGACCAGAGCUCGCCAGGAACCCAGGUGCCACUUGGAUUGUUUGCCUUGAUGGUGUGUGGGUUUUGAGCCUGACUCUACCUGGCUUCUGAAGGAAAGCAGCGAGGAGGGUGGCAGCAGAAUAAGGCACUUGGUUGCCAUCAUAAGGAACUUGAUGAUGAAGUUGGUGACACCGACGGUCCAUAGCACCUCCCAGAACCCCAAGGGCUCGAUGCUGGGGCCCAGGAAGAUGAGGCUGGAUGCAUGGAGAAAUCAAUUGGUGUCAAUUUGGGAUCAGGCUUCCAGAAAGUCCAGUUUAAACAAACGGCGUCUCAUUGUUUUACAAUCGAGAAAUGCAAAACGACAAUGAUGUAUGAUCAUUCUACUGUACAUAUAAUACGUUUUCCCUUCCUCUAUUUUGCUGAUUAUAUUAAUCAUAAAUCAAAGAUAUGCUGCCAAUAAAAGACAAAUGGGAAAUGAGGAGUUCGCAUUCAGCCUAGCUGUGUAAAUAUAGUCAUGUCCGUUUCUCGUCUGGUUGGAGAUAAGAAGACGAGCGUCCUACCAGUAGUGAAGGCUCUCUGGGAGGAAGGUGUAGUACAGGAGGGAGGUGGACAAGGUCAUGAACAACAGAAGCCAUAAGCACUGCAGCUUGGAGUGACGAUCCUG